ACGCCCAUUGCAAGUUUCCACCGUGCUUAACAAUGGUAAACAUGGGGGGUAAGAGCAUGUUCUCUCUAAAACACAGGGUGGGGGUGCGCUCUCCUCCUCUCUGUAUCCUGUUGUGAGCUACACUC
ensembl:snoRNA